rnacentral:rRNA from 1 species
GACGAACGCUGGCGGCGUGCCUAAUACAUGCAAGUAGAACGCACAGUUUAUACCGUAGCUUGCUACACCAUAGACUGUGAGUUGCGAACGGGUGAGUAACGCGUAGGUAACCUGCCUGGUAGCGGGGGAUAACUAUUGGAAACGAUAGCUAAUACCGCAUAAUAUUAAUUAUUGCAUGAUAAUUAAUUGAAAGGUGCAAUUGCACCACUACCAGAUGGGCCUGCGUUGUAUUAGCUAGUAGGUGAGGUAACGGCUCACCUAGGCGACGAUACAUAGCCGACCUGAGAGGGUGAUCGGCCACACUGGGACUGAGACACGGCCCAGACUCCUACGGGAGGCAGCAGUAGGGAAUCUUCGGCAAUGGACGAAAGUCUGACCGAGCAACGCCGCGUGAGUGAAGAAGGUUUUCGGAUCGUAAAGCUCUGUUGUAAGAGAAGAACGGGUGUGAGAGUGGAAAGUUCACACUGUGACGGUAGCUUACCAGAAAGGGACGGCUAACUACGUG